rnacentral:tRNA from 1 species
GGAAGCGUGUCAGAGUGGUCUAAUGUGUCGCUCUCGAAAAGCGAUAAUCCGCAAGGGUUCACAGGUUCAAAUCCUGUCGCUUCCGCCA